CUAGACCUGAAAUCAGUCGAGGUUACCCGCUGAAUUUAAGCAUAUUACUAAGCGGAGGAAAAGAAAAUAACUAUGAUUCCCUCAGUAACGGCGAGUGAAGCGGGAUGAGCUCAAAGUGAAAAUCGCUGUUUCUUUUGAAACCGCGAAUUGUAGCCUCUAGAGGGC
rnacentral:rRNA from 1 species